AUGGACUGCUUCUUGACACGUGGAUACCUAAAGGGCUCUAGGAAUGUGCAGUUGCUGGGCAUUGCCUGCAUCACCCUAGCCACCCACAUUGAAGAGAACCAGCCAUACAAUAGUAUCCCUGCAACAAAAGAAGCCUCAGAUAAAUGCAUCCUUUUAAUUCAGGUCCAAGUUCUAUGUCCUUCCAUAAGGGCAGCCCCAGUGAAUGUAGCUCCCGCUUGCGCAGGGUCCGGGGAAGGGUCCGACCACUUUGGGUCUAUUAAGUCUUUCAUGGUGGGGAUCAACCUUUACAGCCGGAGCAAGGUCAUCGCCAUGGAGUGGCUGGUUCAGGAGGUCCUAGACUUCCAAUGCUUCGUCAUGAUAGUCCACAAUUUUCUCUGGUUCUAUCUGAAGGCAGCAAAAGCAGACGACAAAGUCGAGGAUCUGGCCAAGCACCUGGCCCUGCUCACACUUCUGGACCAUAAGCAUCUCUCCUACUAG
rnacentral:rRNA from 1 species